AUGGUGCUCACGACGCUUCUCCUCCUAGGGCUCUUGGUCGGCCUCGCUGGCUCCAGCCCUCCGCCGGCGACUGUGGUCUGUGCUCACGGCACGUUCGACUGCACCGUCUCCAAUGCGUACGGCUCCUUCCCGGACCGCACAGUCUGCCGCGCGGCCAACGCCACCUUCCCGCGCACCGAGAAGGAGCUGGUCGCGGCCGUGGCAGCCGCCGCGGCGGCCAAGCGCAAGGUCAAGGUGGCCACCAAGCACUACCACAGCUUCCCCAAGCUGGCCUGCCCCGGCGGCAGCGAUGGCACCAUCAUAAGCACGGAGCGGCUCAACCGGGUGGUGAGCAUCGACGUCGCCAAGGGGUUGAUGACGGUGGAAAGCGGCAUGGUGCUCCGGGACCUGAUCAAGAAGGCCGCCGCCAAAGGGUUCGCGCUGCCGCACUCGACGUACUGGUCAGGGCUCACCAUCGGAGGCCUGCUGGCCACGGGCGCGCACGGCAGCUCGCUGUGGGGAAAGGGUGGCGCCGUGCACGAGUAUGUCGUCGGGAUGAGGAUUGUCACGCCGGCGCCAGCCAGCCAAGGGUUCGCGGUGGUACGGGAGCUCAGCGCCGACGAUCCUGACCUCGACGCGGCCAAGGUCUCCCUCGGCGUCCUUGGUGUCGUUUCCCAGGUUACGCUGGCCUUGCAGCCCAUGUUCAAGCGGUCAGUGACGUUUGUGACUUGCAACGACUCGGACUUGGCGGAGCAGGCCGCCAAGUGGGGUAAGCUCCACGAAUUCGCCGACAUGGCGUGGCUGCCCGAGCAGCGCAAGGUGAUUUACCGCAAGGACGACCGCGUGGCCAUCACGUCGGCGGGCGAUGGCCUCAAUGACUACCUACCCUUCCGUCCCAACCCAACGGCCGCGCUCAUCACUGCCAGAGUCACGGAGGAGCUUCUUGAGAAGAAUAUCAACGCUGUCGCCCGGUGCAAGGCGGCAAACGCGACGGUAUCUUUGUUUGAGAGGGCAGCGUACGGCUUCACCAACAAUGGUAGCGUCUUCACAGGGUACCCUGUGGUGGGGUUUCAGCACCGCAUGCAAGCGUCUGGCUCAUGUGUCGACAGCCCGGGAAACACCUCAUGCUCGUGGGACCCGCGCACCCGGGGAAUCUUGUUGGGCAACAAUGGCUAUAGCAUCACGCUCUCUAGGGCGUCGGCAUUCAUCGCCGACAUGCAGCAGCUUCGUGACCGCAAACCACUAGCCUUCUGUGGAAUCGACGCCAAACUAGGUAUACUCCUCCGCUACGUCAAGGCAUCCUCUGCCUACCUCGGCAAGGAGGAGGACUCGAUCGACUUCGAUAUAACCUACUACCGGAGUUUCACCAAGGGUGAGCCGAACCCGCACUCUGAUGUGCUCGAUGAGCUUCAACAGAUGGCGCUACGCAAGUACGGUGCCAUGCCUCACUGGGGCAAGAACCGCAACUUUGCCUUUGAAGGAGCCAUUGACAAGUACCCCAAGGCCAGCAAAUUUUUUGAGGUAAAGGGCAGGUACGACUCUGAUGGGAUCUUCUCGAGCGAAUGGAGUGACCAGGUGCUGGGUAUCAAUGGGAGCCCGGUCAUCGUUGAGAAGCGUUGCGCCAUCGAGGGGCUUUGCGUCUGCUCAGACGACUCGCACUGUGCACCAGAGGAGGGCUACUACUGCCAGCCGGGGAAGGUGUACACAGAGGCGAGGGUCUGCUCAUUCGAGUCCGCCAUCUGA
rnacentral:rRNA from 1 species